GACAGCAAAGCUACUUACUCCAUCAUGCAUCGUACUGCUCCUAGUUGCUUGUGCUCUUGUGACCUCUCCAGUGAAGCCAGAGGAGCAAUAGCAGAGCAGUGUCGUAUCUCUCCUUAGAUGGACUCUGUCUGGAAUUCUUUUGUCACAUGGAUGUAUGGUAGCGUCACUGAGGAAAGUUGCUGCCAGCUGACCAUUACCUUAUUGACACUGGCAAACUGGCAGACUGUGGCAAACUGGGACUGGACCACAUCUCCUGCAUCACUUGUUUUCUGCUGCUGAACGUGAAGGCGAUGGGAAUUGAGGUGGGAGAGUGCCGGGGAGGACCGCAGCCAUGAGUGUGCCUACACGGCAGAGCUGGAUUUUGCGGCUUUUUCUGUCCCCGGUUGUGCGCCCAGUGGGGCCGGCUGCUCGCAGGGCUGAGCUGGGAAAGCGCAGGCGGGCGCGGCCA
rnacentral:lncRNA from 1 species